AACCUGUCCUAAUCCUUUGAGAGAUUCUGCCCUGCAAGUGAGAGGGAAAAAUGAGUGUUAAUUUAGGCUGAGUGCCCUCGUAAUUAGCACCUUGCAAAUUAACACUGCCCUGGGAAGCUGAGAAGGGCAGGAAUGAAAGAGCAGCCAGGACAGGAAUGUUGUUCUGGGGAGUUCAUCAUCGAAGGAGAGGGAAUUCAAACAAGAAAUAAAUAAAUGAGAGCGAGGCCAGACACACCAACAACCCAAGGCACGAGGAGUGGAGGAAGAGGAGGAUGAAAGGCAGCACUGGAGGAAGAGGAGGAUGGAAGGCAGCACUGGAGGAAGAGGAGGAUGGAAGGCAGCACUGGAGGAAGAGGAGGAUGAAAGGCACCCCUUCCCUCUGAAUGCCACAGACUGUCCCCCACUAAGCCCAGGUGGAGGUUGCACCCCCUGCAUCCCUUGGACAGGACCUUGUGUAAAUAACUGAGGGAAGCUGUGGCUGUUCAAUCCUUGAGAAAUGUGGAAUAAAACCAUGGAAGAGUUUAAGGCCCUACAAACACUGGUAAUCCCCCAAAUGGAGCACCCCCACUUUGUCACUUGAUAUGAGGUUUUUUUUCAAGGUCUGGCCACGUUUUAUAUAAAAAUUAUGAGUUUUGUAGAGUCCAAUUAUCUUUACUCACCGUUAC